GCCUGGGUGGCUCAGUCAGUUAAGCAUCUGACUUCGGCUCAGGUCAUGAUCUCACGAUUUGUGGGUUCGAGCCCCAUGUCGGGCU
rnacentral:tRNA from 1 species